GAGAGAGGAGAGUUUUUAAAGGAAAUCAAAGCCUUGCCACUACCAGAAAGCAUGUAAAUUUCUAUGAUAAUAGUACUUAAAACACUUGUAUUCUCUUCAA
rnacentral:snoRNA from 1 species